rnacentral:rRNA from 1 species
CAGUAGCCGCGGUAAUACGAAGGGGGCUAGCGUUGUUCGGAAUUACUGGGCGUAAAGCGCACGUAGGCGGAUAUUUAAGUCAGGGGUGAAAUCCCAGAGCUCAACUCUGGAACUGCCUUUGAUACUGGGUAUCUUGAGUAUGGAAGAGGUGAAUGGAAUUCCGAGUGUAGAGGUAAAAUUCGUAGAUAUUCGGAGGAACACCAGUGGCGAAGGCGGCUCACUGGUCCAUUACUGACGCUGAGGUGCGAAAGCGUGGGGAGCAAACAGGAUUAGAUACCCGCGUAGUCCCUGUCUCUUAUAA